rnacentral:rRNA from 1 species
AUGCCCGAUCCACACACGCCCCAUGCCUUGCCUCCCAUGGCGCCCGAAGCCAUGCCCCAUCGCCCCUCAAGUCGGCGAGUCCUGGCCACCCUAUGCGCGCGAUCACAUCGGCCUCCCCGUCCUCAGCUCCUCCUCCACCUCGCCUUGGCGCGCGAGCCCAUGUCCCGCCUCCUUCUCCCUUUGCAUCGCGCCCUCCUCCUCGAAGCUGGCCCCGCCGCCACCGCCCGGGCGAGCACCGCCCCUGAGCUCCUCGCCAUGGCCUCUCUUGCGCCUCCUCCAAACCUCCCUCCGUUUUCCUGCACUGCUGCAUCCCGCAGCCCAGCCGCCUCCUCAUCCAGCACCGCAUCGAGCUCGUCGGCCUCAGCCUCCUCUGCAUCGCACCUCCCGACGCCACCCCACCUCCAUCGCCCUGUUGCAGAUGCUCUUCCCAGCGCCGCCCAUCACCGCCACCCGGCCACCUCGUCGCCUCGCCGCCAUGGCUACUGCCUGUUCUGGAAUACCUGA